rnacentral:rRNA from 1 species
UGGGGAAUUUUGGACAAUGGGCGCAAGCCUGAUCCAGCCAUGCCGCGUGCAGGAUGAAGGCCUUCGGGUUGUAAACUGCUUUUGUACGGAACGAAAAGGUGCCUUCUAAUAAAGGGCGCUCAUGACGGUACCGUAAGAAUAAGCACCGGCUAACUACGUGCCAGCAGCCGCGGUAAUACGUAGGGUGCGAGCGUUAAUCGGAAUUACUGGGCGUAAAGCGUGCGCAGGCGGUUUUGUAAGACAGAGGUGAAAUCCCCGGGCUCAACCUGGGAACUGCCUCUGUGACUGCAAGGCUGGAGUGCGGCAGAGGGGGAUGGAAUUCCGCGUGUAGCAGUGAAAUGCGUAGAUAUGCGGAGGAACACCGAUGGCGAAGGCAAUCCCCUGGGCCUGCACUGACGCUCAUGCACGAAAGCGUGGGUAGCAAACA